ACGCCCGGUUUCUCGUCCGCAACCCUCCCCUUCACUUCUCUCCCUCCUUCCUCGCCGCUCUCCAAACUCUAGACCUCCCGAAGCCCCAAAUUUCUGUAUGAUAUCGCCCUCGAAUCCUCUUGGAUUCGCGUAUCUUCCGCUCUCCGAUCUCUACCGGAGGUUCUCUGCCCCCGCUUCCGCUUUUGGGAGCCGUUGAUCGUUGGAGAUAGCGAUCGGGGUCUGCGCUGUUUACAUCCUCGGUGUCGACGACGCCAUCAGCCAGGUGCGCGACGAGUUCGUGAAUUUCGGGUUCGGAGAGAAUGUGCUGAACGAACUCCAAUUGAGAACUUUUCGAGCUCACAAGUAGCGGCAUGGAAUUACUCCAAUAAAAUUGGUACACAUCAACAGUUUGCUAUCGAGCUCAGAAGUCAGAACAAGAGUCAUGCAAGGAAGUAUGGGCCUGGUGGGUGGUCACCUUCUGGUAAUUUAAACUGAGUGAGGUUUCCUGUUUCCUUUUAUUUUCUUACUCCAAACCAUGGGAUCGAAUGGCGAGGGUAUUGGUCCUUUCUUCUCCCACAUCUCUGCUCCCAUCUCUACCGGGACCCACCAAAGCCCGCCACCACCAACUCCUCCUCCGUGACUACUCCGGAGGCCUCCACUAUGACCACCGCCGCCCUAAUUCGCGACCUUCUCCGGCCAUCAAGAAGAGGAAGCCCUUCUGAUUGACCCAAAUCCCUCCCCUCUACAUGCCCAGAUUCAUUGUCGCCAUGUCAGAACUGGGUAAUGGGUAUGGUAGAUGGGUGUGGUUCAGGAGAUAAAUAUGAACUAAAGAUUAGAAAGAUCUGACAGUUCUAAUUCAGGUCUUUUUUAUGUUGAAGUACCUGAAAGAGCCCUUUGUUGGAGACUAUCAUAUGCUUGCUCUUGAAGGUGGAAAACCUUCUAGCGGGCAAUGAGGAUAAUGAGUUGAUACUCCUCUAUACGCAUGUCUAGGAGAUUUAUAAGCAGCAACAGAUUUUGGAGCUCAGGUGCUAUUGAAAGGCCAAAGCUGUGGCAUUGCUCUUUUGCUUGAUUUAAUUUCCUUUUCUUUCAGGUUCCAUGAGCUUUAAUAUUGCUGUUCUGGCCCUUUCAAUGUGACAGUCAGCCUUGAUUCAGCCUGCACAGCAGUUUAAGCACUGGUCUUAAAGCACUAAUCUAAAUCUCUGUCAGAGGAACUAGUUGCUUGCUUAGGUCCAGAAUUUACUCACCUGCCAAAACUCAGCUCAGAUUUAGUUGCCAUGAUUUCACUAGGCCUCUUUGGGCUGUACGCUUGAAAUUGUUACUUAAACUGGUGAGUUUGAUAUAAAAAACAUAGAUUCAUGUACUGACUAUCCAACCUCUGAUGAUUCUUUUCUAGGUUAGGCCUUUCCCACUGGUAAUGCGCCUGAACUGCGUAAAUUCAAGCAACAUUGUCGGAGGUUUCUUAAACAAUUUCAUGGCUUGUAAGUGAGAUAUCAGGUUUCAUUUCCAAUUCUAUCUCUAAAAUGAUGGGAUUAUCCCUUGUCACAUGGCUGAGCAUGGACCACUGAACCAAUGUUGCUUGUUUCAUUAGCCAGGCUUCUCUUGUAAGAGGUCUCUAGUCUCACUAGCCAGAAUUCUGGUGUAAAGAAUCUGCAAUCAAAAUCAUGCAAUUGUUUGUUU